UUUCGCCUCCUGCACCUUGGGAGCCCCGGGCUACUCUCUCACAGCCCUUGUUGCCCUGCGAUCUGUAGGUCCUUGGGGACGCAUAGUUAAGGUGCCAGGACAUCCUGGAAGCUGGGAAAUGCCCAUGGCUGGAGAAGGAAAGAAGGUGUGUUUUGCCUGAUUCAGGGGCUAUAGAGAGAACCAAGUUCUGCAGGCCUGUCACCUAAGUCUCAGGGCGGGGAGACCUUCCUUCACCACGGGUUUGAGGCUAUGGCUAAGUGGUAAGCCUUGGGGAGAUGCAGAAAGGAUCCAUCCCAGGCACUUGGCUAGAGUGCAAGAACUUUUUCUAAGACCCCGAACUCCAGAUAUGCGAUGGGGCAAAUCCUGAAGUGUACAUGGAUAUCUCUCACAGCUAAAGCAUCCCUCAACCCUAUCCAGGGCUUCUUACCCCUGGCGCAAGAGAAUCACCGGCGGGGAGGAAAACUUUCAAAAUCCCUUAAACCCAAGUUGUAACCGAUCAAUUAAAUCAGAAUCCUUGGAGCUGGAUCUGAAAAAAAUAUGGUUUAAAGUUGUGCAGGUGAUUACAAUGUGUAGGCAAGCCACAAAACCAUGGCUUU
rnacentral:lncRNA from 1 species